AUUGAACGCUGGCGGCAGGCCUAACACAUGCAAGUCGAGCGGAUGAAGGGAGCUUGCUCCUGGAUUCAGCGGCGGACGGGUGAGUAAUGCCUAGGAAUCUGCCUGGUAGUGGGGGAUAACGUCCGGAAACGGGCGCUAAUACCGCAUACGUCCUGAGGGAGAAAGUGGGGGAUCUUCGGACCUCACGCUAUCAGAUGAGCCUAGGUCGGAUUAGCUAGUUGGUGGGGUAAAGGCCUACCAAGGCGACGAUCCGUAACUGGUCUGAGAGGAUGAUCAGUCAAACGGAAACGGAAAAACGGGCCGAACCCCAACGGGGGGCCGGAGGGGGGAAUUUUGAACAAUGGGCGAAAGCCUAACCCAGCCAUGGCGGGUGGGUAAAAAAGGUCUUCGGUUUGUAAAGCAUUUUAAGUUGGGGGGAAGGGCAGAAAUUUAAAACCUUGCUUUUUUGACGUUACCAACAGAAAAAGCACCGGCUAACUUCGU
rnacentral:rRNA from 1 species